rnacentral:lncRNA from 1 species
GCUCGCUCGAGCUCGGCGCGGACCCGCCCGGGAGCGCUCCUCGCAGCCCAGCUGCCCGGGUCCCACCGCCCUACCGGGCGCGGGCGAUCAGACUACCUCGGAGGGCGCGCCCAGACACCCAGUCGUCCGGCCACCUCAGUGGGCACACUCGGCACCCUGUGAUCCGACCACCCGCGGAGGCGCGCUAGCCCUCUGGGUGGGCGUGCUGGGCUUCUCUGCGGCGGAAGUCUGAACCACAGAUUGUGACUUCUUUUCUAGCAAUAGGUGUUGACUGGUCCGACUGCUGCCUUUCUGCCUGAAAGUAGUUCAAACUGAAGGGAAGAAAACAUAUGUGCUGCUUGGUCUGCUAUCUUCAACCAGAAGUCUGAAAUACGGUCUGAAUGCUGCUUGCAAGGAUCUCUUAGAUUGAGGAUAACAGACACCAGAGACUCGCCACCAUAAACAUUUCCACAAGAAAUGGUCUCUAACUGAACCUGGAACUCACUGACUGAGCUAGAGUUGCUGUUGAGAAAUCCCCACGAAUUGUUUGGUCUUCUACCCCUCAAAAUUUUCGAUACAGUGCCUCCUCGGGCCCAUCAGAGUCUUCCAGGAUAAUGACCACGCCUCAGGAGGAAGUGAGGUAAACAAGUCUCCUCAUUGCUAUGUUUUGUAAUCCUCAGACAAGAGUGGAGUUCCCAUCUGAAGAUCCUCAAAGGCAUGCCUGUGUGAAGCUUACCCAUGUAUGUACUCAGUGUAGGUGUGAUCAGUUUUCAGAUCCAUGCAAAUGUGAGCUGACUUUCCCCUGAUGUUUGCUGAGUGCAUGCCAACAGCAUUCUGCAUGCCUAACAUGUCUCAGCAACCAAAUCCCUGGAGCUGCCAUAUGCAGAGGUCUGUGGUGUGGCCAUUUUAUAAAUGAGCCACGGGAAGGCCAGAGAAAGAAACAGCAUGCUCCAGGUCAGAGCAGAAGGCAGCUUCCCUAGGAUCUGUUUUAAUGUUUGCUUCUUUAUAACACAGGAUCUCAUGAAACCCAAGCUAGCCUCGGACUCAACUGUAUAGCUGAGGAUAGCCUUGAAUUGAUUCUCUAGUAUUUCUACCUCAUACCCAGUUCAUGAGGUAAUGCGGACAGAACCCAGGGCUUCCUGAUGCUAGGAAGGGACUCUACCAACUAAGCUACAUCCCCAGACCCUCCUCUGGGAUAGCCCCAAGGUUCAAAUCCAGGGCCUUAACAACAUCGGGACACAGACUUAAGACACAGACAGCACUCUAUGGGUCCUGGGCAUGCUCCUACCCUGUCUAGUGAUGGCAAAAGCCAUCUUUUUAACAGCCUACACUAUGAUUCUUCCAUCAGACCAGAAAGGCCCUAGAUAGCCCAGCUUCCCAUUUUGAGCCAUCCUCGACAUGUUUAACCAGUGGCUUCGUGGGACUGCUAGACAAAGUUUGGAAAUCACCAAGAGCUUUGACUUUUCUGCCCACAAAAACAGUUGGCCUUGGCAGUUGUCCAACACGUUGACCUUAGAUCUAUUUAAUGAAAACCCUAUUAAUUCAAAAAGAAAGAAAGAAAACAAGACAAAAUAGGACAGGCAGUAGAAAGAUCUUUACAAAAAUCGUGUGUGCCCUUCCUCCACUGUUGCCUUGACCAGACAGGGCCACAAAGCUGACAGGACAGGACUAGGACAAUUGCUUUGUUAACACACAAGCACAGCGUGACAUGAACUCCAGAAAAGGCAUUUGGCAGGAUUAACCUGCUGAGGAUAAAGAUGUAGCAGACGGGACCUGAAUUAAUGGACUGGUAUGGCCAAAGUGGAGAAAUCUAUUUGCAUGUAAUAUUAACUGUACUAAUAAACUCCAGGCUGGGAUCCAACAGCCCAGGAGCCUCUUUGAACCAGGACUUGAUUCCUGCACAUCCUAUCUCCGACAUCUGCCAAGACUUGUGCAUGUAAGCCGGCUGCCUGCCGGUUACCACUCUGUCCUUGGUGCCUGCAAUAUCACAGGCCCUUUACUGACUCCAACUCAAGCAGAUCCCACUUACAAUAUUAUUUACAACCUAUGGAAAAGCAAUGAGGAAACGCAGGUUCAACACAUGUAGAAAAUAUCCACCGGGGCCUAGAGAGAUGGCUCAGUAAUUAAGAGUCCUGGCUAUUCCUCCAGAGGACCUGGGUUCAAUUUGUAACAUCCACUUGGCAACUAAGAGUCAUCUAACUCCAGUUCUGGGGAAUCUGAAGCCCUCUUCUCACAUCUGUAGGCACGGUGCAUACAUGGUACAUACACAUGCAAAACACAUGAAAUAAAAAACAUAAAACUUAAGAAGAAAAUGCCUACCUGACCCAGGCUGUUGGCCUGACCUGUGUAUUCUGAUUCCUUGAAAGUCUGUGUAGGAGUAGGGUGAGCAAGCCGACUCCUGGGAUGUGACAUUUCAGGAGGUACCACAGUCUGGCUCAGUCUCAGAACAAGGCGAGUGCCUAAAGAUUCAUGCAUUGCCCCUCAGACUGCCCUACUGCAGGUUACCAUAGGAACAGUGUAAUCUAUACCCAUUCAAAAUCAAUACACUUACAACAGACAGCUGGAUGUUGGGCGGUGUAGUGGAGGAGAAGAAUGUAGGUAGGUGGGGACCUCUGAGGGAUCCUACAAAAUACAUCUCAGAUCGUUCCAACCCAAGAGCAAGAGAGCCUGGUAUUUAUCUACCAGCUCUUUACUGUAUCUGGCUUGGAGAGUAAUUCCCACCAUGCAGACUAGGCAUAUACUCCCCCAAAGAAGCCAGGGAACCUGGAGCAACGGCCUGUGUACAAGACCGCCUAGGCCAUAUGGAGUGUAAAAAGGUGUGAGUCAGGGUGCGAGUGACACCCACUUAAAGUUCUUGUGUACUUCAACAAAGAACUGGACCAGGAACACUGAAUAAAGAUUG